ACUGUUGCAUUUAUCAGAGAAACACGGUGAUUACGUUUCAAGUCGCGACACUGGACACACCAGUCAGAUGUUAUUUGUUAGCUACCACGUUAGUUUUGUUUUGAUAGGCUACGUCGUCAACACACCUCCGCAACAUGCAGCUGCUGCUGUGAAGGGAAUCACCGGAGGAAAAGUCCAGAAGACAAGUUCUGUUUCUUUUCGGUGACUUUAUACAGCCUAGCCUACUACUGAUGGAGAAAGUCACCGAAGCGGACAAACAGGGAGAGAGAAACGUAAAGCACCUUUUCCACUGCAAGAAAUGCAGUCACAGGAAAAGGAAGCUGGGGUUUGGUGCAGCGGACCCUGAGACCAUCCACACAGCCAGGCCCACGGACCAGGCACCAUGGCUGGUGAUCGUCCCAGAGGAGAGGAAAGAGAGCUGGCCCAGCUUGGACUUAAGGCUGCUACACAGUCAAAUUGGAUGCACUCUUUCCCAAAUGUAGAACUUUUUAUGUUAAGGUGAAAACCAUAUUAUCUUGUUACUGCUGUGUACAUUCUCCCAGAAGAACAUAUAUUGUAUAUAUUCCUCUGUUCUAAUCUAAAUUUAAUUAUCUUUCAUGUUCUGUCAUCAUUGUAGCGUGCAGGGACUACGAACUUUAAUUUUGUUGUACAACCUUGUGUUGUGUAAUGAAAAAUAAAUGUCCUUAAUCCUAGUACUACUACAA